rnacentral:lncRNA from 1 species
CCUCUGAGUCCUCGUUCCGCCUGAAAGGAGACUGAGGCCCUUUAGUUUCCUUCCCGCUCAGCACAGUUCUCCUCUGCUUGUUCAGAGCCAGAGCCAAUGGAGGCGGAGACUGGGAAUCAGCAUAGUCUCCGUGCAGUGCACAGAGGCACUGUCUGGAGGUGCCGACCUUGAGAACAGAACUUUGUCCCUCUUGGGUCCCUGUAAUGCAGGGCACACCUGGGACCUAUUUGGGACUUUGCAGGGACAGCUGCCGGUACCUGACAGGCCCGGAGCCUCCGGAUCAUCUGCAGGCCCAUUUGGAUGGCCCUGUUGGGGAGAGGCAGGAGGUGCAGCUGGAGGAGGUAGAGGAAGGACAGACAGCUCGUCUGCACGGAAGGAGGCAGCGCGGAUGUUUGCAGCGACAGAUGGCAGCAUCCGGCAGAGCCCUGGAAGCCGGGUGAGGAGAGGAGGGGAGGCCGGCCAGACUCCUCUGCAGCUCUCAGGCCUCCCGCACAAGCUCAGCCUGCCUGGCACACACGUGGAGAUUCUCCCCUCCCUGUGUGGCGCUAAGGCACCUUGGUGAGCUCCUCAUGGUCCACAUGGGCUGCGAGUGUGUGGGAUGGCCUGGGGCGACUGGAGAAGUCUGUUCACCUGGCCCUUUGGGAGCCAAGUGGAGGAGGCUCCAGAUCAGCCCCAGAAACCCUGUUCGCUGUUCUCAGUGAGGGCGUCUGCCACGAGACUGGGGCCAGAGGGGCCAUGUAGGGAUGAGGAGUGGCGGUGACUGGGAGGUGAGGAUGGCCAGAAAGUGCUAGUCUCCCAUCAUCCCUCUGUCUUGGUGAACUCCGCUGUAUCUUAGAAUCCUGCUUGACCCGGCUCUUCAGGAAGCUGCCCUGGCAGGCCGGGCUGAGCCUGAAGAUGCCUGGCCUGGCUCUGUGGCCUCUGUGAGCCCCGGCCCCUCCUGGCCUCAGUUCUAGCUGGAGGAAACAGGACUCCCUCCUCAUCCUGGGAAGGCGGUCUCUUCCUCUCAGCGGGACUUUGAAGAGGCCGUGAAGAACCCACAGGGCCCUGCAGCAGUGGAACCAGACACCCAGAUUCACCACCCUGGAGUCGUUCCCAGCCUAGCACAGAGCCUGGGAAACAGAUGGAGAAAGCGUAGGGUGGGAGGGCCCAACAUCCUGGGCGGCUGGGGAAAUGACAGCAGCCGGGAUCCCAGCACUUAGCAUGGGUCAGUUAACAAUGCAUCCGGCCCCACCCAGCCUGUGAGGAGCCCCUUCUGUUCCUCACGCUCACACACCUGAAACUGACUCUCUGCUGGGCUCACUUGUCCACACUGCUGCUACUACCACCGCCACAGGGCCAGGAUUAGACCCCAGACAACCUGGACCGGAAGUCCACACUCCCAUCCACGGAACUACAAAACAAAAUGAAAACCAUCUCUCCCUCUGGCAGGGAUGACGGAUAAUAGGUUUGAUGCCAUCAAGUGCUGCUGAGGUCACCUCACCACCACCACCACCACGGGGAGCCCACGUCUGAUUACCUAGGGAGCCCCAAGAGUUCGGGUCAGAGUGGAGCGAACAGCUCUUUCAUCUCAUCUGCGUUUAGGUUGCCAUGCAGGAAAGAGUCGUGCAUUGCUUUGGUUUGUAACUCAUUUAAAAGGAGAAUGGGGGCAGUGAUACAGGGACAGCAUGUGCGAGGCCCGAGUUGCAUCCUUAGCCCAUCCCCCAAACAGAUGGGGGAGUAUGUUGGGGAAAGGGAAUCAAAGAUGGACAGAAUGGAAGGCUCUCAGACAGUUGUCCCUGACCGUGACCUCCUGCAGGCUUUGUCUGGGCGAGGCCUGUUCUUUUAUUGGGCACAUAUGUAUUUUCUGGGGGCCCCUAGGUCCUCGGCUCUGUGCCGGGCUGUGUGCUCUCCCCAGGCACACCCAGGGUGUGUCCCGACAGAGGGGCUCCCCUUCUGUCCCUGUCUGGGCGCUCUGUGGUAACAAGGUCAGGGCUGCAGGGAGGAGCCAGUUCUGGCCAGAGCUCUGAUCUGUGACGGGCUGUUCCCCGGAGCAGCUGCUACAACAACAUUUACUUUGUACAGUGGCCAAGAGAGAGAGCAAGAAAAGGAAGAGAGAGAGAGAGAGAGAGAGAGAGAGAGAGAGAGAGAGAGAGAGAGACAGAGGGAGAGAGCACACAAGCCUACUCUAUUGCAAAAUGUUUCUGACAAAAUCUGGCACUCCUGGUUCUAAUCAAAAUACUGAACUUUGGAACAAAUUAACAUUCCACAGCCCUCACUGGGAAGGAGAAUUCAGCCGAGACGACUUCAGUUCACAACAACAAAAAUAGCUUCUCCCGGGGAAGACACAUUCUGCUAACAAGGUCACUUGUGUUUUGCUUCCCCUGCCAUCUGGCUGAGCGGCAACCAGGGGCUGGCACUGGUACCAGCGUCUUGUGUGGAGAGGGGCUGGGAACCGGGUGGUGCCGCUGAAGGCUUCUCAGCCUCCUGGCAAAGGGUGUAGGCGUGGAGUUACCUUCAGACAGUCCCAGAACUGGGGCAGAUGGAGCCCAGUCUCACCCAGCCGGGCUCAGCUUCGAGCUCCGAGCAGCAGGAGGUGUGACACCAGCACACAGCAACAAGCAGAUCUGGAGGCCAGAAGUGUGAAAUCAAGAUGUUGUCAGGGCUCUGUUCCUUCUGAGACCUUCUGAGACCUUCUUUGCCUCCUCCCAUUUUCUGGCACACCAGUCAUAUUGGAUUAAAGGCCCAAGACUCCAUUCUGACCUCAUCUUGGCUAAUUGCAUCUCCAUGACCCUAUUUCCAAAUAAGGUCACAAUCUCAGGAUGUGGAGCAGCACCCCAACCUUUAUCAAACAGAUGCUUCUAGCAUUGCUUAAUUCAGUUGCGACAACCAAAAAAUGUUAGUGUCUCCUGGUGUGUGUGUGUGGCAAAAUUACCCCUAGUUGAGAAGAAUGAGAAUAUUCAUUUAGGGGUUGGAAAUCUUAAAGUUGUAAAAAUCAUCCAAAUUUCUCUUUAUCUUGCUUUCUGUUAAAUACUUUCCUGUGUUGUAAGGCUGCUCUGCUCUGAGACCACUGGCACCGUGAGCAGAUGGCAUGACUUGGCUGUCCCCUGCUCCUGCCUCCGUGCACCUGGGACCUGUGGGUGGCCUCGUUUGCAUGGAGGAAAAAGAUAAUAUCCCUAUUUAUUACAAAGACUCAGGCAUUUGAAGGACCCAACCAAUGGUGUGACAUGUGUGGGCACAUGAACUUCACCUUGGAUGCCCCAGAAGUUUCUAGAGCUGACUUCCUUUAACUAGAAGGAAUAUGACUGUGGUCUUAGAAGAAAGACAUUACCUGGAGGAAGUUGAAAGCCAGCAUGCAGAGAAGGAAGACUACGGAAGGGCUCAGGCAGCUACACAGCUCUGCAGAACAAAAUGUUCUUGUCCAGGCCAUGGGGCCACAGGCUGGGACAGAGGGGAGGUAAGGAAGCUGCUCUCAUUCAGUCAGACCAGGUGAUGACCUGCCCCAUAUAGAUUUGGGUCUGUGCCUGGCAUGGGGAAGAGGGGAGAGUAGAGCUUCCUGUCUGGAAAUGGCUGUGGCUCUGCUUCCUUUCUACAGCCCUUGGGUUUCAGUCGGGAAGCUCCAGUGCUGUUGACUGGAGCAGGAAGCCUCCUCGGCUGCCUGUGUUCCCAGUAGAGAUUUGACCUAGGGCUUGGGUUCUGCUCCAUGAUGGAAGCCCUGCAAACUGCAAGACCAAUAUUUACUGAACCAGGAGGCUGUUAUUCUCAUGCUUUUUAAAACAUUGAGGUCAAGUUCACAUAACAUAAAAGUAGCCAUGUAUAUUAUUCAGUGACAUUCAGGCCAUUCCAGGUGUGGUACAACCAUCACCUCUGUCUAGUUCCAACAUGUUUUUAUGUCCCCUCAAAAAUCCAGUACCCAGAAGCAUCACCCCAUUCACCUGUCUGUGAACCCUGGCAACCACCAGGGUUCUAUAUUCUGUCUCCAUGGAUAUUCCUAUAAAUGGAAUCCUACAGCUGGUGGGCUCUUGUGACUGGCUUCUUUCACUUAGCAUAAUCUCCUCAAGCUUCAGCCACAUUGUAGCAUGUGUCAGUGCUUCACUCCUUUUUAUGGAUGAGCAAUACCCCCCUGUGUGGCUGGAGCACGUUUUGUUUAUCCUGUCAUCUGCUGGUGGACAUCUGGGCCGCCUCCACCUUUGGCUAUGGAGAAUAGUGCUGCUGCGAACAUUCGUGUCUCCCAUGAGCCUGUGAAGAGUCUGGAACAUUCACUCAUAGAACCCUGAAAUUAGGCAACAGAUAUCUUUGGAGGAUCAUUAUUUCAGCCUAGCACAAGGAGUGACGCCUGGUGUGUUUGCAACCCAAUAAUACCAGCUACCAAUUGCUUGCUGUGCACCAAGCUCUGUGGAUUGAAUUCUCACAAAUCAUAGUGUUUUAGUUGACUGAACUUCAUUUGAAUAAGCAUUACGAUUACGAGAUGCUUCAUCUUCCGUUGAGAGUCGUCUUCAACUGACAGCGGCUUUGCACCUGCCCAUCCUGAGUUUCCCAUUCCCUCUCUAUUCUUUUAAACCAUGAAGUGACCUGAAGAACAAAAUUACAUAAUGCUCUAGGAAAAACCAACUCUGAGUGCACUCAUGUAUUUUCCAAUUUCCAGCUUCACACAGGGAGGGCCAGCUCUUCAUGCAUUCCCAUGCUCGCGUCAGCUUAUGUCAUGUGGCCUUUGGCAGGUGAUAUCACUUCCGUGCCUGUCUCAUCAGUCCAUGAGAUGCAGGUGGCAGUACUCCGGAGGCCUGGUGAGGGUUAAAUAAGGCCACAACAUGAG